rnacentral:rRNA from 1 species
GAACCGGAACACAGGUGCUGCAUGGCUGUCGUCAGCUCGUGUCGUGAGAUGUUGCGUUAAGUCGCGCAACGACGCGCAACCCCUGUCCUUAGUUGCCAUCAUUAAGUUGGGGUACUCUAGGGAGACAAACCCUCUCUGAGGGUGGGAAGGUGGGGAUGACGUCAAGUCAGGAUGGCCCUUACGGCCUGGGCUGCACACGUGCUACAAUGCCCGAUACAGAGGGAAGCAAUACCGCGAGGUGGAGCAAAUCCUCAAAAUCGGGCCCAGUUCAGAUUGUAGUCUGCAACUCGACUACAUGAAGUUGGAAUCGCUAGUAAUGGCGCAUCAGCUACGGCGCCGUGAAUACGUUCCCGGGCCUU